UACGUAGGGUGCAAGCGUUAUCCGGAAUUAUUGGGCGUAAAGAGCUCGUAGGCGGUUUGUCGCGUCUGCUGUGAAAACUGGAGGCUCAACCUCCAGCCUGCAGUGGGUACGGGCAGACUAGAGUGCGGUAGGGGAGAUUGAAUUCCUGGUGUAGCGGUGGAAUGCGCAGAUAUCAGGAGGAACACCAAUGGCGAAGGCAGAUCUCUGGGCCGUAACUGACGCUGAGGAGCGAAAGCAUGGGGAGCGAACAGG
rnacentral:rRNA from 1 species